UUGGGCUUUGGUUUUGUAUCUGGAGGCAUUCUCAGUUUGGCCUCUGAGGUCAGAUAGAGGUCACUGACCUCUGUAAUAUGUUGUGACACUACAGGUGAAUGGG